rnacentral:rRNA from 1 species
UACGUAGGGUGCAAGCGUUGUCCGGAAUUAUUGGGCGUAAAGAGCUCGUAGGCGGUCUGUCGCGUCUGCUGUGAAAACUCGGGGCUUAACCCCGGGCCUGCAGUGGGUACGGGCAGACUAGAGUGCGGUAGGGGUGACUGGAAUUCCUGGUGUAGCGGUGGAAUGCGCAGAUAUCAGGAGGAACACCGAUGGCGAAGGCAG